rnacentral:other from 1 species
CGACCCCUGCUGUGUUUGUGAUUGGAAGACGUUCUUUGACCCAACAUUUAUUGAACGGGAGCUUUCUCUGGUUUUGGUGAGCAUGUUCUGCUUGUACAGAAAAGCCUAAAGAGACCAAAAGGUGCCCACUUUCUUUUUCUGGUUCAAAAACCUUUCAACACGGCAUUGAGGCGGGGGUCCU